GGGGGUGUAGCUCAGCUGGGAGAGUGCUUGCAUGGCAUGCAAGAGGUCAGGGGUUCGAUCCCCCUCACCUCCA
rnacentral:tRNA from 2 species